rnacentral:rRNA from 1 species
UUGAUUACGUCCCUGCCCUUUGUACACACCGCCCGUCGCUGCCCGGGACUGAGCCAUUUCGAGAAACUUGGGGACCGUGGAUUCGAUGGCUUUCGGGUCGUCGUUUUCGUGGAAACCAAUUUAAUCGCAGUGGCUUGAACCGGGCAAAAGUCGUAACAAGGUAGCUGUAGGUGAACCUGCUGCUGGAUCAUUACUCACCGUGAU